UGGCUCAGGAUGAACGCUAGCGACAGGCUUAACACAUGCAAGUCGAGGGGCAGCGGGGGUGAUGGCUUGCCAUCGCCUGCCGGCGACCGGCGCACGGGUGAGUAACACGUAUGCAACCUGCCCGCCACAGGGGGAUAAGCGGAAGAAAUUCCGUCUAAUACCGCGUGACGCGGCGCCGGGGCAUCCCGGUGCCGCCAAAGGGAUUACCGGUGGCGGAUGGGCAUGCGGCGCAUUAGCUAGUCGGCGGGGUAACGGCCCACCGAGGCGACGAUGCGUAGGGGUUCUGAGAGGAAGGUCCCCCACACUGGUACUGAGACACGGACCAGACUCCUACGGGAGGCAGCAGUGAGGAAUAUUGGUCAAUGGGCGCGAGCCUGAACCAGCCAAGUCGCGUGAGGGAUGACGGUCCUACGGAUUGUAAACCUCUUUUGCCGGGGAGCAAGCGUGCGUUCGUGAACGCGCGUCGAGAGUACCCGGAGAAAAAGCAUCGGCUAACUCCGUGCCAGCAGCCGCGGUAAUACGGAGGAUGCGAGCGUUAUCCGGAUUUAUUGGGUUUAAAGGGUGCGUAGGCGGGAUGCCAAGUCAGCGGUAAAAAUGCGGUGCUCAACGCCGUCGAGCCGUUGAAACUGGCGUUCUUGAGUGGGCGAGAAGUAUGCGGAAUGCGUGGUGUAGCGGUGAAAUGCAUAGAUAUCACGCAGAACUCCGAUUGCGAAGGCAGCAUACCGGCGCCCUACUGACGCUGAGGCACGAAAGCGUGGGUAUCGAACAGGAUUAGAUACCCUGGUAGUCCACGCAGUAAACGAUGAAUGCUAACUGUCCGGCUCGAAUGAGCGCUGGGCGGUACAGCGAAAGCGUUAAGCAUUCCACCUGGGGAGUACGCCGGCAACGGUGAAACUCAAAGGAAUUGACGGGGGCCCGCACAAGCGGAGGAACAUGUGGUUUAAUUCGAUGAUACGCGAGGAACCUUACCCGGGCUCAAACGCAGGAUGACGGGUCCCGAAAGGGGUCUUUCUUCGGACAUUCUGCGAGGUGCUGCAUGGUUGUCGUCAGCUCGUGCCGUGAGGUGUCGGCUUAAGUGCCAUAACGAGCGCAACCCCUGUCCACAGUUGCCAGCAGGUAAAGCUGGGGACUCUGUGGAGACUGCCGGCGCAAGCUGCGAGGAAGGCGGGGAUGACGUCAAAUCAGCACGGCCCUUACGUCCGGGGCGACACACGUGUUACAAUGGCAGGUACAGCGGGAUGCCACGGGGCGACCCGGCGCUGAACCCGAAAACCUGUCUCAGUUCGGAUUGGAGUCUGCAACCCGACUCCAUGAAGCUGGAUUCGCUAGUAAUCGCGCAUCAGCCACGGCGCGGUGAAUACGUUCCCGGGCCUUGUACACACCGCCCGUCAAGCCAUGGAAGCCGGGGGUACCUGAGUGCGUGACCGCGAGGAGCGCCCUAGGGUAAAACCGGUGACUGGGGCUAAGUCGUAACAAGGUAGCCGU
rnacentral:rRNA from 1 species